rnacentral:rRNA from 1 species
AUAAGAGCGUAUGGAGAAUGCCUUGGCAUUGGGAGCCGAUGAAGGACGUGGUCAGCUGCGAUAAGCUGCGCGGAGCUGUAAGCAAGCAUUGAUGCGCAGAUUUCCGAAUGGAGCAAUCCGCAUGAUUAACAGUCAUGCAUCAUACAGUGAAUCAAUAGCUGUAUGAGGGGAACCCCCUGAACUGAAACAUCUAAGUAGGGGGAGGAAGAGAAAUCAAACGAGAUUUUGUGAGUAGUGGCGAGCGAAAGCGAAAGAGGCCAAACCGGGAACAGCAAUGCUCCCGGGGUUGAGGACUGCAUUUAGCAUUUUAAGUUUUAGCUGAAGUGCAUGGGAAGGCACACCAGAGAAUGUGACAGUCAUGUAAGCGAAAAGACGAGAAAGCGAGCAGGAUCCAGAGUACCGCCGGACACGUGAAAUCCGGUGGGAAGCCGGGGGGACCACCCUCCAAGCCUGAAUACUACCCAAUGACCGAUAGCGAAGAGUACUGUGAAGGAAAGGUGAAAAGAACCCCGGGAGGGGAGUGAAAAAGAACCUGAAACCAUAUGCUUACAAGCACAUAGAGCACGUCAAGGUGUGAUAUGGUACCUAUUGUAGAAUGGUCCGGCGAGUUAUCUUACUCAGCAAGGUUAAGUACUUAAGGUACGGAGCCGAAGCGAGAGCGAGUCUUAACAGGGCGUUAAGUUGAGUGAGAUAGACCCGAAACCGAGUGACCUAGCCAUGUCCAGGCUGAAGUGGAGGUAAAGCUCCAUGGAGGGCCGAACCGACCCCCGUUGAAAAGGUGGCGGAUGAGGUGUGGCUAGCGGAGAAAUUCCAAUCGAACUCGGAUAUAGCUGGUUCUCCUCGAAAUAGCUUUAGGGCUAGCGUUGUGAAUGAUUACCGGAGGUAAAGCACUGAAUGGGCUAGGGGUCGAGAGAUUACUGAACCCUAUCAAACUAAGAAUGCCGGAUAAUAAGAUCACAGCAGUCAGACCGUGUGAGAUAAGUCUCACGGUCAAAAGGGAAAGAGCCCAGACCCACAGCUAAGGUCCCCAAACAGGUUUAAGUGGAAAAGGAUGUGGGGUUGCCCAGACAACCAGGAUGUUGGCUUAGAAGCAGCCACUCAUUAAAAGAGUGCGUAAUAGCUCACUGGUCGAGUGACCCUGCGCCGAAAAUUCAACGGGGCUAAAAUCUGUACCGAAGCUUGGGAUUGAUACGCAAGUAUCAGUGGUAGAGGAGCGUCGUAUCGAGGGUGAAGUCAUAGCGGAAGCGAUGGUGGACGAGAUACGAGUGAGAAUGCCGGAAUGAGUAGCGAGAAUUAUGUGAGAAUCAUAAUGGCCGAAAGUCUAAGGUUUUUAGGAGGAAGGUUCGUCCGCUCCUAGUAAGGCCGGGAGCUAAGGUGAGGCGGAAACGCGUAGCCGAUGCACAUACGGUGGAAAUUCCGUAGCCUCCGAAGUAUUUAAGCAUGAGGACACUUUUGAAGCGAAUAGCCGGGCGCUGGUUGCCCCGGUCGUAAGGGACUGCAAUAGCGGGAAGUAUUAGUGGAAAGAGGCGAGAAAAGUCAUGUGAAUAUACAAGGAGCCCGUACCGCAAACCGACACAGGUAGACAGGAAGAGAAUUCUAAGGCCAACGGGAGAAAGGUUGUUAAGGAACUCGGCAAGUUGACCCCGUAACUUCGGGAGAAGGGGUACUCAGAAAUGAGUCGCAGAGAAUAGGCCCAAGCGACUGUUUAGCAAAAACACAGCUCUAUGCUAAAUCGAAAGAUGACGUAUAUGGGGUGACACCUGCCCGGUGCCGGAAGGUUAAGAGGAGGAGUGAGAGCUCUGAAUUGAAGCCCCGGUAAACGGCGGCCGUAACUAUAACGGUCCUAAGGUAGCGAAAUUCCUUGUCAGGUAAGUUCUGACCCGCACGAAUGGUGUAACGAUUUGGGCACUGUCUCAACAACCUACCCGGCGAAAUUGUAGUACCGGUGAAGAUGCCGGUUACCUGCGACUAGACGGAAAGACCCCAUGGAGCUUCACUGUAGCUUAAUAUUGGAUUUCGGUAUUUCAUGUACAGGAUAGGUGGGAGACUGGGAAACACGGACGUCAGUUUGUGUGGAGUCGCUGUUGGGAUACCACUCUUGAAGUGCUGGAAUUCUAACCUGUGACCAUGAAUCUGGUCAGGGGACAAUGUUAGGUGGGCAGUUUGACUGGGGCGGUCGCCUCCUAAAAGGUAACGGAGGCGCUCAAAGGUUGGCUCAGUAUGGAUGGAAACCAUACCAGAGAGUGUAAACGCAAAAGCCAGCCUGACUGCGAGACUGACGGGUCGAGCAGGAACGAAAGUUGGAGUUAGUGAUCCGGCGGUAUGUGAGUGGAAAUGCCGUCGCUCAACGGAUAAAAGCUACCCUGGGGAUAACAGGCUGAUCUCCCCCAAGAGUCCACAUCGACGGGGAGGUUUGGCACCUCGAUGUCGGCUCAUCGCAUCCUGGGGCUGAAUUCGGUCCCAAGGGUUUGGCUGUUCGCCAAUUAAAGCGGUACGCGAGCUGGGUUCAGAACGUCGUGAGACAGUUCGGUCCCUAUCUGUCGUGGGCGAAGGAUAUUUGAAAGGAGCUGUCCCUAGUACGAGAGGACCGGGAUGGACGCACCUCUGGUGCACCAGUUGUCACGCCAGUGGCACAGCUGGGCAGCUAAGUGCGGAUCGGAUAAACGCUGAAGGCAUCUAAGCGUGAAGCCGGCCUUAAGAUAAGAUAUCCCAUCGAAAGAGUAAGACCCCUCAAAGACUAAGAGGUUGAUAGGCUUAACGUGUAAGCAUCGUGAGGUGUUAAGCGAGUGAGUACUAAUCGGUCGAGGGCUUUUCCU